AGCUGGCUGGCUCAGUCGGAAGAGCAUGAGACUCUUGAUCUCGGGUCGUGAGUUUGAGCCCCAUGUUGGCUG
rnacentral:tRNA from 1 species